UCAAGAAACUUCCACAAUGGGCGAAAGCCUGAUGGAGCGACGUCGCGUGAUGGACGAAGUGCUUCGGCACGUAAACAUCUUUUAUGAGGGAGAAAGUUUAUUGAUAGUACCUCACGAAUAAGGGGUUGCUAAACUCGUGCCAGCAGCAGCGGUAAUACGAGUGCCCCGAGCGUUAUCCGGAAUCAUUGGGCGUAAAGGGUGUGUAGGUGGUCAUGUUAGUCAGUUGUUAAAACCCGGGGCUUAACCCCGGAAGUGCGACUGAAACGGCAUAACUAGAGGAUGGCAGGGAUGUAUGGAACUCAUGGAGUAGGGGUGAAAUCCGUUGAUAUCAUGGGGAACACCAAAAGCGAAGGCAGUACAUUGGGCCACUCCUGACACUGAAACACGAAAGCGUGGGUAGCGAAUGGGAUUAGAUACCCUAGUAGUCCCUGAGCGGGCUGGCAAGGCGCAU
rnacentral:rRNA from 1 species